rnacentral:misc_RNA from 1 species
GAAGGAACUUUCAUGAUCUGUGAUCAAGCAGCCAGAUGAUACGAUAACAAAAUGUUGAGGAUUAGAUUACGGAGAGAGCAGAAGCUCCUCAAUCUCAUUGCGGGUAACCCAACAAGAAGAUGUCUGAGCACCAAGAACCUUAGAAAUUAUAGUGGGGGUACAAAAGUUAUGAGCUUUGGUGAUGGCAGCCAUGGAGCUCUGGGACUAGCCACCUCUCUUACUGGCCUUGGAACCGACGCCUACGAGCCCACUUGCGUCCCUGGCCUUCCCUCUGACAUUCUUGGAGUCAGCGCCGGCCACUACCACUCCCUUGCCGUUACUUCUCAAGGUGAGCUCUGGGCCUGGGGCCGCAACCACGAAGCCCAGCUCGGCCGCGGCCUUCUUGCCUCCAGGUUAACUGAGACUAUCCUCUCCAUUCUCUAGUUCUUUAUUGUGUGAGUGAAUGCCUAAAAGGUGGCUUUUACUAUUCUAUACCAAUUUAUACUUGUGUGCCUGCCAGUUGUUUGUUUUUAUGUCGCUAUGGUUCCUAAAUGAUGUUAAAUCUAACAUUGUUAAUGCUUAAUAUCGCUUAAUGUGUAAGUAAUUAUGAAUUCAACUAAGGAAACGGAUAAAUCAAUAUUUCUGAAUGAAACUUGUGCCCUGUAACUGCGUUGCGGAUGAUUGAUAAUUUCCAAGGAGGUGCUUUGUUCUGGCUUUUAAUGGAAGGAUUUCAUUUAUGGUGGACUUAGAUAAUAGAGACAGAUUUCUCAACAACGGAUGCACGCGCCUGGUGUAAAUUCUUCUUCAGUUUUGAUUCUUAAAUUUGUACACUAAGAAGAGUAAAUUGCUGACUACAAAAUAUUGGUUUUAGCAGAGAUACAUGGAAUGAACCAAAGAGGGUAGAAGGGUUGAAUCAAGUCCAAGUCCUCUCCGCAUCUGCAUCUGGCGUUGUCUCUGCAGCCAUUGGAGAUGAUGGCUCUUUGUGGGUUUGGGGAAAGUCUAAGCGGGGUCAGCUUGGUCUGGGGAAGGGAAUCACAGAGGCCUUGGUACCUGCCAGAGUUGAAGCACUUGCAAGAGAAAAGAUAGCUAAGGUAGACAUUUAAAAAAGGUAGACAUCUUUUUGGCAACACAAGCUUCAUACUGAUGUAGAUGUAGCAAGCUUGAAGUCUUUUCAAAUUGUUUGAUGGGAACUUCGUUAAGUGCAUUUUUGGUCAGCAGGUAUCAUUGGGUUGGGGGCAUACCCUUGCGUUGACUGACAAGGGAAAGUUAUUUGGCUGGGGUUAUUCAGCUGAUGGUAGGUUAGGAAAGAUCACCAGAGCUGUAGAGGCGUCUCUACUGGAUUCGAGUGCAGAUAUGGUUAAACCUAACCAACAACUUCCAAAAUCAAUCUUAGAAGCUGCAGAAAGGCAUGUUUUAGAAGGAAUGGAGAAGGAGAAGGACAUGCCAAUAGUCUGGGAUCCUUGUUUAGUGGAAGAAUUACACGGCACUGAAGUUGUAGACAUUGCCAGUGGGCUUGAUCAUUCCUUGGUUCUUUGCCGUAAGUAAUGCUGCAUGUUAUAUUGUCUAAUAGGUUCAAAGUUGAUUAAUGCUACAAAAAUUUAAAAUCACCAACAUAACAUGCAAAUUGUGUGUUGCUUGUUUAUCUUACUGUCGUAUUCCAGGUGAUGGCACUUUAUUGAGCUCUGGAAGCAAUAUAUAUGGCCAGUUGGGCAGAGCAAAUCAUGAAAUAGGAUUGUUUCCAGUUGAUAUGAACUUCCAUCUGUUGUCUAUAGCAUCAGGUCUUGGCCACUCUUUGGCAAUUUGUGGAGUUGCAUCAUCCGAAGUAGAUGCCACUAGCAUUGUUUCAUGGGGAUGGAAUCAUAACUCCCAGCUUGGAAGGUUGGGACCAGAGAACAUCCCAUUGGAGGUUGAGGGAUUGGCAGGGGAGUGUGUUGUUUGGGUGUCAGGAGGGCGAGUACAUUCCAUUGCUCUCACAUCCAAACAGGAGGUAUGGGUUUGGGGCUGUGGUAAGAAUGGCAGACUUGGGCUGGGGAGUUCUGCUGAUGAAGCUGAACCGAUCUUGCUCGACAGUUUAGAAGGUUAUGAAGUUUUACAAGCUGUUUCAGGCUUCGAUCAUAAUCUAGUCUUGAUUACUCAAUGAUGCAUGUUGAACGCUACAGAAUAAUAUGAUUCCUGCAGUUUUGCUUUUUCCAAAUCUCUUUUACUGAUUUCUUGGAUUUUUAGAUGCAAUAUACAAGCUUUAGUCGACUUUAAUGUGGAUGCUGGAGGGCGUCUCUCGCAGCAUAUCCAUCUGCAUGUCAUGAUUUGUAUUUGGG